rnacentral:rRNA from 1 species
UGAGGAAUAUUGGUCAAUGGACGAGAGUCUGAACCAGCCAAGUAGCGUGAAGGAUGACUGCCCUAUGGGUUGUAAACUUCUUUUAUACGGGAAUAAAGUGGAGUAUGCAUACUCCUUUGUAUGUACCGUAUGAAUAAGGAUCGGCUAACUCCGUGCCAGCAGCCGCGGUAAUACGGAGGAUCCGAGCGUUAUCCGGAUUUAUUGGGUUUAAAGGGAGCGUAGGCGGGUGCUUAAGUCAGUUGUGAAAGUUUGCGGCUCAACCGUAAAAUUGCAGUUGAUACUGGGCGCCUUGAGUGCAGCAUAGGUAGGCGGAAUUCGUGGUGUAGCGGUGAAAUGCUUAGAUAUCACGAAGAACUCCGAUUGCGAAGGCAGCUUACUGGACUGUAACUGACGCUGAUGCUCGAAAGUGUGGGUAUCAAACAGGAUUAGAUACCCUGGUAGUCCACACAGUAAACGAUGAAUACUCGCUGUUGGCGAUACACAGUCAGCGGCCAAGCGAAAGCAUUAAGUAUUCCACCUGGGGAGUACGCCGGCAACGGUGAAACUCAAAGGAAUUGACGGGGGCCCGCACAAGCGGAGGAACAUGUGGUUUAAUUCGAUGAUACGCGAGGAACCUUACCCGGGCUUAAAUUGCAGUGGAAUGUAGUGGAAACAUUACAGCCUUCGGGCCGCUGUGAAGGUGCUGCAUGGUUGUCGUCAGCUCGUGCCGUGAGGUGUCGGCUUAAGUGCCAUAACGAGCGCAACCCUUAUCUAUAGUUACUAUCAGGUCAUGCUGAGGACUCUAUGGAGACUGCCGUCGUAAGAUGUGAGGAAGGUGGGGAUGACGUCAAAUCAGCACGGCCCUUACGUCCGGGGCUACACACGUGUUACAAUGGGGGGUACAGAAGGCAGCUACCUGGCGACAGGAUGCUAAUCCCUAAAACCUCUCUCAGUUCGGAUUGGAGUCUGCAACCCGACUCCAUGAAGCUGGAUUCGCUAGUAAUCGCGCAUCAGCCACGGCGCGGUGAAUACGUUCCC